GUCUUUGUCCCCCUAGGAAGUGUGGGAGUCACCACUGAGCCUUGUCAGGCCAGGUGGGAAGCUGAGACCGAUGAAGUGGUCCUGCAGCGGUGGCAGAAGCAGAUAGAUUAUGGCAAGUGCAUACCUGGGUACCAGAGCUUUCUGCAGCAGGUCCCCAGGGCACAGCGACAGCCGGGUUUUCACCCUCAAACACCAAACAAAAACAGGAGAUACAGUCGCAGAUCCUGAGAUGCCCAAAUCAGGCAAUGGAGAAGAGCCCUGCAUACCUGGGACCCCCCAAGCCAGCCUCUCCAUGACAGACAGGCUGAGGGGAAAGCAACAAAGAACUUCCUAAGGACAUUGGGUUCUACUCCUUUAGAUGAUCUCCUGGUAGCUGGCCCCAGGGCUCAGAAUCCUCAGAGAAUUGGGACAGAGUUUGCAUACUUGAAGCUUCCUGCUUCCUCCCCGGCCCAGCUCAAAGAUGAAGUUCUCUAUCACUAAGUCUACCUGUUUCCCUAUCCCAGAUGAGGGGGCUUCAAAACACUUAGAGUAAACCCUUGACUUUUAGGGAUUUGCUGCUACAACUGUAAUAAUGAAAUGACUGGAAUUACCACUUUCUAUCCGACUAAAGAAAGGAAUCUGAAACUCUGCCCUACAGUGAUCUGAGCAUGAGAGCAUUUAUUGAAAAAAAUUUUUCCCAUCUGAGACCUCCAAUUUACAGAAGAGCCAGAAGCCUCUAUGGGCUUUCUUCCCUACUGACAUCAACACCCAGCCUAUUGAAAAAAAACUUAAAACUUUGGUUGAGGUGGGAGGUGGUGAUAAUGGUACAGACUUAAUAAAAAUGUGGUUUCCAG
rnacentral:lncRNA from 1 species